rnacentral:rRNA from 1 species
UGGGGAAUAUUGCGCAAUGGGGGAAACCCUGACGCAGCAACGCCGCGUGAUUGAAGAAGGUCUUCGGAUUGUAAAGAUCUUUUAUCAGGGACGAAGAAAGUGACGGUACCUGAUGAAUAAGCUCCGGCUAACUACGUGCCAGCAGCCGCGGUAAUACGUAGGGAGCGAGCGUUAUCCGGAAUUAUGGGUGUAAAGGGUGCGUAGACGGGAAGAUAAGUUAGUUGUGAAAUCCCUCGGCUUAACUGAGGAACUGCAACUAAAACUGUUUUUCUUGAGUACUGGAGAGGAAAGUGGAAUUCCUAGUGUAGCGGUGAAAUGCGUAGAUAUUAGGAGGAACACCAGUGGCGAAGGCGACUUUCUGGACAGAAACUGACGUUGAGGCACGAAAGUGUGGGGAGCAAACAGGAUUAGAUACCCUGGUAGU